rnacentral:rRNA from 1 species
CUACGGGGUGCUGCAGUGGGGAAUAUUGCACAAUGGGGGAAACCCUGAUGCAGCAACGCCGCGUGGAGGAUGACACAUUUCGGUGCGUAAACUCCUUUUAUAGGUCAAGAUAAUGACGGUAGCCUAUGAAUAAGCGCCGGCUAACUCCGUGCCAGCAGCCGCGGUAAUACGGAGGGCGCAAGCGUUACUCGGAAUCACUGGGCGUAAAGAGCAUGUAGGCGGGUUAAUAAGUCAGAAGUGAAAUCCAAUAGCUCAACUAUUGAACUGCUUUUGAAACUGUUAACCUAGAGUGUGGGAGAGGUAGAUGGAAUUUCUGGUGUUGGGGUAAAAUCCGUAGAGAUCAGAAGGAAUACCGAUUGCGAAGGCGAUCUACUGGAACAUUACUGACGCUGAGAUGCGAAAGCGUGGGGAGCAAACAGGAUUAGAUACCCCAGUAGUC